GGGGAUGUAGCUCAGUGGUAGAGCGUCCUCUUCGCAUGCGGUAGGCACGGGGUUCGAUCUCCCUGCAUCUCCA
rnacentral:tRNA from 1 species